rnacentral:lncRNA from 13 species
GUUUAGUCACAGUUUGUGCUAACCACCUCUGUUCAGUGACUAAUAUGAGUUCAGUCACUGUUUGUACUAACCACCUCUGUUCAGUGACUAAUAUGGGUUCAUUGACAGUUUGUGCUAACCAUCUCUGUUCAGUGACUAAUAUGGGUUUAGUCACAGUUUGUGCUAACCACCUCUGUUAAAUGACUAAUAUGGGUUUAGUCACAGUUUGUGCUAACCAUCUCUGUUCAGUGAUUAAUAUGGGUUCAAUCAUAGUUUGUGCUAACCAUCUCUGUUCAGUGAUUAAUAUGGGUUCAAUCAUAGUUUGUGCUAACCAUCUCUGUUCAGUGAUUAAUAUGGGUUCAAUCAUAGUUUGUGCUAACCAUCUCUGUUCAGUGAUUAAUAUUGGUUCAGUGGCAGUUUGUGCUAACCACCUCUGUUCAGUGAUUUCAACUGCUUCCAAAUCUAUGAGUCAAGCCCUGCUAACCUAAUUUCCUGGAUAAGUAAAAAACAUCAGUGUUCUGUACUCAACAGAACAACAUUUACUGCAUAUCAAAACCAACAUCCCCCUUGAUUUGGGAAGGGAAGAGUGGCGUUAUCCUUGAAAACCUGGUUAGCGGUUUAGUUUGAAAAUUGUCAUCAUUGUGCACUGUACCGCUGUAUGUAUCUGUUCAUGAUAACAGUGUUAUUCUACUACCUGACAGGACUACAAACACAGCAACAUACAGUAAAUACCAAUGUACCAUAAUGUAAAAUAUGUACAGUGUUGAAUUGAAACUCUAAAAUGUUUGUCACAAUAAUGGUGAUGAUGAUGAUGAUUACGUUGAUAAUCAUGGUGAUUAUAUACUUUUAUUCUGAAGGAGGAUCAUAGGAGAUGAGGCAGCGUGUGAUUCGUUGACCUGAUCUAUGGAAUGUACAUUGCGUAGCAUGAGUAUUAAGGUUCGGCCUCUGAUUGACCGGUAACAGGGGGUGCAGUUUUCCCUCGGGUGGACGACCCGAGGAUGAUAAAAGUUAGAUGCCUUAUUUACUGUGCUACCUUUCUUUUCUGUCNNNNNNNNNNUUAGUUUGAAAAUUGUCAUCAUUGUGCACUGUACCGCUGUAUGUAUCUGUUCAUGAUAACAGUGUUAUUCUACUACCUGACAGGACUACAAACACAGCAACAUACAGUAAAUACCAAUGUACCAUAAUGUAAAAUAUGUACAGUGUUGAAUUGAAACUCUAAAAUGUUUGUCACAAUAAUGGUGAUGAUGAUGAUGAUUACGUUGAUAAUCAUGGUGAUUAUAUACUUUUAUUCUGAAGGAGGAUCAUAGGAGAUGAGGCAGCGUGUGAUUCGUUGACCUGAUCUAUGGAAUGUACAUUGCGUAGCAUGAGUAUUAAGGUUCGGCCUCUGAUUGACCGGUAACAGGGGGUGCAGUUUUCCCUCGGGUGGACGACCCGAGGAUGAUAAAAGUUAGAUGCCUUAUUUACUGUGCUACCUUUCUUUUCUGUCNNNNNNNNNNCCCCCCCCCCUCCCUAUGGAGUUAUGACUACUGUAUACAGUUUUAAUCUUUUUCCCCGAGGUGACGUCACAGAAAACAUCUGCUUUUCGAACUGAAAACACCCCAACUUUUAGCACCUCUGUUAUUAUUCCUAAACUCUAUACUGCUGCUGUCCCACUGGGCACACACCGGUUGAAUCCACAUUGUUUCCACAUAAUUUUAACGGAAUUACGUUGAACCAAUGUGGAUUAGACAUUGAAUUGGGGUAGGGUAGGUCUACCACCUGUUUAUUGGAUACUGUAAUGAAAAGUACAUUAGAGAAUCAUUUGUUCUGUUUUGGUUCAAUAAUUAUACUUGUGGGUUUAACUGUGUAAGCUAGGUAGUGAAUUUACAGCAGAGAACCUUUAUAUCCAGAAGCUAUUUCACGUGGUUCCAAUGUCUCCCACACAGACACAAACACACAACAUGAUGUAGAGGAAAAAAUCCAACAACUAAAUUAACCUUUGUCUUUCCCGGAGGGGUCUCAGAUAACGAUGUACUAGCAGAAGAUGAUGUACUAGCAGAUGAUGAUGUACUAGCAGAUGAUGAUGUACUAGCAGAUAAUGAUGUACUAGCAGAUGAUGAUGUAUUUCAUUACCGUUAAAUGGAUUGAAUUGCCAGCAUCCUUUUGUGUUGUCAUCAAUUCGGUUAAAAUGUUCAACAAAGGCCAGCAGCAUUUUUCCUCCUUCCGUUCAGAUUUAGGAAAUAUGUGGUUGGCUGAUGAAGGUUUACCAGUCUGUCAGUACUCAUAACUUUGGUACUUUACACAUUUUGACAUUGUCCUCCUUUGGUAAGCUUGCCCAUCCCCAACCAGAGGUCAUAAACUGACCCAUAAACCCUAACCCCUGAUUCUCAGCCAGGCUCUGAACCCUUUCACUUGGAGUUGUCCCUAGACACUGUUCCCAUGUCAGUUUGUGUUUCGCCUCUAACAGUUGAUGUUAGGAUAUGGGAAUAGUAAGAGAGACUUCUACCCCAAGCUAGGCCGGUUUUAUAAAUGUUCCCAAACUGAUUACUUGUGAGAUUGUUCUCUCUCUCUCUCCCUGAUCUCUCUUCCUUCCUGACCUUGGUCACAUCAUGUUUCAUCAUGGUAGAUUUAUAUGCGCUUGUUCAGAGUGUACGCAUUCUAAAGUCAUUCAUGUCGCUGUAAUAAACAGGCUAAUAUUUCUUAUUUCUCACCUGAAGUCUUAUUUUUCUUUCACGCACACACACAUGCAUGUCAACCCACACUACACUCUACACACUGAUAUGUGCAAACAGUCACAGUCUCACAUGUAUGAACCAGGCUAUGCCUGAG